GCAGAUAUGGCUGAGUGUUUAAGGCGACUGAUUCGAAAUCAGUGGAGCAUAGGUUCGAAUCCUACUAUCUGCG
rnacentral:tRNA from 1 species